UACAGAGGUCCCAAGCGUUGUUCGGAAUCACUGGGCGUAAAGGGCGUGUAGGCGGUUCGGUAAGUGGAAUGUGAAAUCCCCCGGCUUACCCGGGGAACUGCAUCCCGUACUGCUGGACUUGAGUGCGGGAGAGGAUGGAGGAAUUCCUGGUGUAGCGGUGAAAUGCGUAGAUAUCAGGAGGAACACCUGUGGCGAAGGCGUCCAUCUGGCCCGUUACUGACGCUGAUGCGCGAAAGCUAGGGGAGCAAACGGG
rnacentral:rRNA from 1 species